UGGAUCGAUGAAGAACGCAGCUAGCUGCGAUAACUAGUGCGAAUUGCAGACACAUUGAGCACUAAGAAUUCGAACGCACAUUGCGCCAUCGGGUUCAUUCCCGUUGGCACGUCUGGCUGAGGGUCGAAUUUGAAUAUCAAACAUCCGUGUGUUUUCCAACUUAUGGUGUAUUCGGCGAGCUAUGAUGGUGUUGUUGGCAAUGUGCUGCGUGUGUGUGUUGCGGCCUCUUUUAAGGAGAGGUCACUUCAUGUGCUCGAGGCAUGGCCGACGCGCCGACAUACCUUGCUAAGGCUUUGUGCCAUAUAUCGCUCGUAAUCAUUUGCUCCAUGCGAGGCGAUGAUGGCCGUCAAGUGUCGCUCUCUUAACCAUAGAUACGGCUCCGAGCACGUGUUUGCCAAUUGGCUAUCGGUUUGGGGUGCCCGUAUCAGAAUUGCUGGAAAUGGAAGAGAGGGUGAUGCUAGGUUGCUGUCACUAUGUUUUGACCUCAGCUCAGUCGUGAUU
rnacentral:rRNA from 1 species